AAAACCCGUGAAGAGGGUUUUUCUUACAUUCUGUCCGCGCGCGUGCUCCCAUCAGGCCAUCGUCCACACUGCUGCCACACCCGCUAAGGUCAGAGCUCGUCCUUCUCUUCCUCCCAACACCCUUGUGCUUCCUGUGCAUGGCCCACCUCACCUGCUGGCACCAACCUGAUUAAUUCCGUUCUUCUCUCUCAGCUGUACAAAGGCUCUAACUUCCGGCCACGUCCUGACCUUCCCCUCUGCUCCAUACUUGCUACCCUCCUUCCUUUCUGCUUGAGCUAUUACACGUGGUUCUGCUCUAAGCAGUUCACAUGCAUCGGCUGAGUCUACCUUCUCUCUGGUCCUAGAAGAUGGAGUGUUCCUUUCUCCAUGAGAAAGCCGAAACCCACCAACUAAACAACUUGAUGAGCUGCCCCGUGACCCCUUCAAGCUCCCAGCCUGUGUAGUACGGCCACAGAGCCCACGCUCUUAUGCCAGGCAGCCCUUGCUUUCGUAAAAGAACCAUUCCCAAACUUUGAAAGAAGCACAGCGACCUCGGUGACAAUCUCAUUCAGUGGAGGCGUCAGCAAGGUCUCUUCCUUAACCUUGAGUUUCCCAGUUGUCUACAGUGAAGAGACACUGGGGAUCCACCCGUGUCUGCCUUCAGCCCUGAGGUAGCAGGGGCACGCAGCCGCACCCCACUUUUGAUGUGGCCUCUGAGAAUCCUCAUUUCUCUCCCAUGCUUGCACCACAAGCCCUUUGCCCACUGAGCAUCGCCCCAGCCUGUGCUGGACUUUUCGGAAGACUAAUGCUUCAAAAAGCUCAAGAAAGAAUUUACAAAAGCAUGUGUAAGUGAUCAAAUUAAAGGGAGUAGAGGGGACGGCA